rnacentral:lncRNA from 1 species
AUGAAACAGCUCUUUGUAUGUCUCUCUCCAUGGCUGGUGGUACUUGAUCACUCAGACCCUAUGUGUUCUUCCAUAAGCACAAAGCGAUUUACCUGGAAAAGCGCUAGUUACCAUGAUAAGGGGCUGAGGAUACAAAAAUGGAUAAGCUGUAACAUCUAUCUUCAAGGAACACUCAUAGGGAAGACACUAUUACCAUUGAGAUUACUAACCAAUAUUAAUUAUAUUUUGCAUUCUUGGUUUUCUAGAUUAAACAGAAACACCAAAUAGUAUAGCUUAUCCCCAUAUUAGAGAUUAAAUUUUUAAAAAACAGAACAAAAAGGCUUUUCAAAAAAAUUGAAAGGCUAAAAGGCAAAUCCUAUCAUGCCAUUAUAUUUUAAGCAGGGAAACUUGCUAAGGGAAUAGUUCUUAAAUGGUCCCANNNNNNNNNNNNNNNNNNNNNNNAGGUGAUGGAGAUGUUAACUCACCAUACUAAUACAUACAUGUCUCAAAUCAUCAUGUUAUAUACAUUAAACUCACAUAAGAGUCUAUGUCGAUUCUUUCUCAUUAAAGUUGGGAGAAAAAAAUUAGAAUACCAUGAGACAAAUACACCUUUUAUAUCUUGCUUACCACAGUAUUCCAGCACUUAGAAUAAUACCAGGCACAAAGGAGGUGCUCAACAAAUAUUUGUGAGUGAAUCACAGAACCACUGAGUGGUUGAGUUAGGAUUCAAAUCCAGUUCUAAUUGGUGCCCAUCCUAAGAGUUUGUCAACUGUGACAGACAGCUUGUGAAGACAAGAAUGGAUCUGACUUAUUUUCAUGUCUUCCAUAUCCCCUAGUACACUGCUGUGUGUAAAAUAUGCUAUCAAUAUAUACUUAACAAAAUAACAUUAAGACUUCAUACUAUAAGUUCUAAGGUAUUAGAAAUAACAAACAAAAAUAGUAUGGAAAUAUCUGUGGGUAGAAGCAAUUCACACCAUUUCUUUUUCCUAGUGUCAGUCACUCAGUCGCGACUCUUUGCAACUCUUCUUCCUAGAAUACAUCUCUAAUCCCACUGCCCUCCUUCUUCCAUUUAAAAAAUUCUUACUUUGCUUUCAAGAACCACAUCUUNNNNNNNNNNNNNNNNNNNNNNNNNNNNNNNNNNNNNNNNNNNNNNNNNNNNNNNNNNNNNNNNNNNNNNNNNNNNNNNNNNNNNNNCUUAUAAAGCCUGAUUUUUUCCUACAAAACUAUGAGUUAAGGCAAUAACCCGACUCCAGCUCUUUUGCUUUCCUUUAUCAUUCCUUUCGUCUGUCAUUUUCUUCCUUCCCUUUUUUUCUCUUUCUCUCUCCUCCUCUGUUUCCACUCUUUCUCUUCCUUCCUUUCUUUUAUUUUUAGGUGAUUAAAGAGCAAGGUUUAAAAUGCUUUAAAAACAUAAACAUCUAUAGUUGUAAAAUUAGAAGAUAUUAUAAUCCUUUAAAUGAUGUGAUUAUGUCUUAAAUACCAACCUAGCUACAUUUCUCCAAGAAAGCUGUCCAUAAGGGUAGACUCUGAUGAAUUAAAACAUUCCCAAUGAAGCCAAAACACCAAUAACUGAUCAACAAAAUAAUUUCUAAGAUCCCAAGGACUUCAAGUACUAGAUUUAAAUUUACUUAGACUCCUAUAAAAGCAUCUAUAAAUUUCCAUAUUAUUAUAGCUAAAAAACAUCUAAGAUCUGAAAUCUUUUACUUCUGACAAUUCACAUUCUCAAGAAUGUUCUUUUACUCCCUUAUAUGAUAUUCCAACAAAUUUCACAAUCACAGCUUUUGAAAUACUCCAUAUAUUGAGUAGUCUACAGUUGGUUAUCCAUCAUAUCAAAGACUCUGCAUGACAAAAACAUUAAUUUCAGUUUUAAAGUAUUAUUAUUUACAUUGGGUAACAUCACAUAUCAUUGGUAUACAGUACUCUAACUUACUCAGUGAUUUGACCCACAGGAGAUCACAUUUGCUAUAGGAAAGUACAAAAGACAUAGGAAGGAAAAAGAGACGUGUGUAAGCCAACAGCAUGGGAAAAGAAAAACAAUAAAAAACAACAAGAACAGAAAAACUUAGUGAACACAGGCAUGUAGGAUAAAUAACAUAGAUGGAAACAACUCAAUAUACCUCAAAAAGGCUAUGAAGGCACAAAUAUUCUAUAGGACAGAAAAAUAAGCGUUGGUCAUUAUUAUAAUAUAAAGCCAUCAUAUAAUAUCUUCAAGAAAACAAGAAAAGUUAUAAGACAUCAGAGGUGCUUAUUAACAGUGCACAUACUACAAAGAAACCCAGCUAACUAGAAUAAUUUUUUUUCAGCAUCACUGAAGUUUAGUAUAUUGCUGAGUCUAUUUUACAUUGUCACAAAAAGUAGUUAUUUUAACCUGAUCAUGCUGUUAUAAAGGCAUAACCUUUCAUUUGAGAGACAGGAUCUUGUUUAAUUCACUGCACUUAUAAGUUUUACCUGGCCCAUAAAUACAAAGGGCCUGGGGGGCAUUCAUUUAAAUUGAAAUAUUAAUAACAGAAAUCUUUCGGCCAUUUUAGCAAUAAAACUUAUUUGAGGCAAUAUUCUUAGUUCUUUAAGUAAAGAGUUAACAACUUUAGAGGCAAUAUUAUUCCAAAGACCUCCUUAGCCAAUUUUCUAAAGUACAGAAUGAUCAAUAAAAAUCAGCCUGUAACAGUAUCUUCCAAACAUCAAUUGGAAAGAGUCUGUGUUCAGUGGAAUGCCAAAUAGUACUGCCAGACUUUUAUAGAAAGAGAGGGCUAUGUUUGCAUUGUUCUGUUAAUAGCAUGCUAACAAGUAUGUUUCCUGUCGGGUCACUAAUGGACAGAAAAAAUACAUAAUAAAGCACUGAACAGUGGACAGCCAUUCAUGCUCUACUGGUCUACCAUUACUAGAGAGAAGAAUGAGUAAGUCCUAUAAUCUUAAGCAGCUACAGAAAAGAAUACCCUCUUGUUAAAGCUCAAGAGAAUCUGAAGAGGGAAUAAAAGAGAAAAAAGUCAGACAGAUUAUGCUGUCAAUUUUACUUGUCAUAAUGUGCUUCAGAGAUAAAACAUUCCUCUGAAUGGCAAUUGAACAGAUGGAAAUUUUCAUUUUUGGUUAACUGGAUGGAAGAAUUGGACCAGUACCUAAAAUGACAUUGAAAUGAAGCUCAAACCCCCUCCCACAAGAAGGAAACAGAUGCAUCANNNNNNNNNNNNNNNNNNNNNNNNNNNNNNNNNNNNNNNNNNNNNNNNNNNNNNNNNNNNNNNNNNNNNNNNNNNNNNNNNNNNNNNNNNNNNNNNNNNCUCAAACCCCCUCCCACAAGAAGGAAACAGAUGCAUCAUUCCAGAUACAAAAUAAAUGAUUGAACAGUGCAUAUAUUAUAUUGGCAUCACUGUAUCCAACUGUACAUCUGCACAAUGUUUUAGUCUCCUGGAGAGAGAACAGACAUUUCUAAAAGGGAAAAUAGGCAACUAUUGAAGUGAAUCAGAUAAGUAUACCAUUUGGGUAAGAAAAGCCAAACAACACUUCGCUGAAAUUGAAGCUGUUCAUGCUGAGAUGAAAAAAGAACCAUAAAUUAUACCAAUUCCAAUGCCCUUGAACUUAUACACUGAUUUAAAUGUAGUAGACUUAGAAAUAUAAAACCACAUUUUGAAGAUUUUUAUAAUCUUAAAUCAGAAUGAAUUUUUUAAAAAAAAUGACCACUUAAGACUCUAAAGAAGUUAGGGUUGAAUACCCGCCUAGCUUGAGUCGAGAAAGAAAAGAGUGACAAACCAAAGCUACAUUCCUUAUCUUAAACUAUGACUGGAGAAGAUUCACAAGAUAGGUAACAAAAAUGAAAUCUUUGAUAAUUUGCAGUUAAUAACUGAUCCUGUGAGUUGUGAACUAAGGCAAUGGCGUGAUGAACUCCUUUUUACUCUUCCAUCAGUCCCAUUUCCACUUUCUGACAACACGGUCCUGGUUGGUGUUUCCUGCUGCUUUCCUGCCAGCUCUUACCAGGGCGGAUCCAGGCAGGUAGCUUACACCACCCUACACUUGCACCUCAGUCUUCCUAUCAGUCUUUUCCUGUCUUUCCGAAGUCAUUAAGCCCUCGGUCCAGCUGCAGAGAAAUUAUGAGAUACCAGCCUUAGAGGGCAAGUAAGCAAGGUUUGUCAUUUUGUUUUAAGGUAUAAUCUCAGGUGGCACGGGACCAGCAUCACUCCUGCAUUAGAAAGUGACUGUAUAAGAGGGUCUCAUCAGGGGAUGAGAUGGUGCCUGAGGAUGCCAGCAGAAUAAAUCUUGAGGUUAGAACCUAAAAGAGAAAGAGGCAAAAGGAAAAGUGUGUCUAGCACAAAAAGAUUUUAUGGUUAAAUAACAGAAAUUCUGGCUUCUUUUUAUAUAUUAAGUCAUUCAUCACAAUGUAAUGAGACUUUACUAUGUAUCUCGAGUGACAGAAUAUUUUAUCAGAUAUGACUUCCAAUC